AUGGGUAAAGCAAUGGGAUCAGGCACUGGCUUAGGGCGUGCUGGUGCAAAUUCUAUGAGACCUCCAACAAAUCCAAUGGUAGCUUCUGGCAUGCCCAUGGGCGGGGUAAUGAAUGUUGGUGGUUAUGGAGGUAUGAACCAAAACCAACCUAUGGGUAUGGGAAUGGGACCAGGCAUGAACAUGAACCAAAACCAACCCAUGGGUAUAGGAAUGGGACCAGGGAUGAACAUGGGAGGAGGAUAUGGCCAAGGCUAUCAGAUGCAACCACAACACCAAGGGAUGGUCCCUGGUCAGAACAUGCCAGGCAACAACAACAACAACAACUAUAAUCCGAUGAUGGGUCA
rnacentral:lncRNA from 1 species